rnacentral:rRNA from 1 species
CCUACGGGAGGCAGCAGUGGGGAAUAUUGCACAAUGGGGGAAACCCUGAUGCAGCGACGCCGCGUGAGUGAUGAAGUAUUUCGGUAUGUAAAGCUCUAUCAGUAGGGAAGAAAAUGACGGUAUCUGACUAAGAAGCCCCGGCUAACUACGUGCCAGCAGCCGCGGUAAUACGUAGGGGGCAAGCGUUACUCGGAUUUACUGGGCGUAAAGGGAGCGUAGACGGCUAAUCAAGUCAGAAGUGAAAACCCAGGGCUCAACCUUGGAACUGCAUUUGAAACUGAGAAGCUAGAGUACAGGAGAGGUAAGCGGAAUUCCUGGUGUAGCGGUGAAAUGCGUAGAGAUUAGGAGGAACACCAGUGGCGAAGGCGGCUUACUGGACUGUAACUGACGUUGAGGCUCGAAAGCGUGGGGAGCAAACAGGAUUAGAUACCCCUGUAGUC